rnacentral:misc_RNA from 1 species
AAAAAGUUUAUGCCUGGGCUUUUCUGUCAAACUAAGAAUUCCGAUAUUACAACAGUUCUUUGAUGGUGGCAAAAGUAAAGCUUGUUUUCAUUCCUCAAGAUUUUUUUUAAAAAGAAUUUUAAUUACAUAAGCAGCUGAAAUCAUCAGAGAAUUUUUGACAACAAACAGGUUAUUUUUUACAACUGGUGCUGGUCUAGUAAUAUAUGUCAGAUUCAUGUGGAAACAAUUUGGUUUAUCUGACAGAAAUAUUAACUAGAUUUAAAAAGAUCUACAGGUUAUGAAGAUGCCAAAAGAAAUCGCGAACCCACGGGCUGGCCAUGAAAGAAAAUGAGAAAGAAGAGGGACUGGAGAUAAAUAACAGGAUGAGGUGUUUCACAACUCAGAUCACACUUCUGUGUCCUCCAAAAGCCCAAAUCUUCAGGUUUGUAUCCCAACUUCCUGUACAUAAGGCACUUCCGUCAGCUGACAGUCCCAGACAACUUAUUCGCCCUUCAUGUGAGUUUUGAACUGAUCUUAAGUUUAGGACCACCUUUGCUAAUAGGGUGUCCCACACGUAACAAUCACCAUUAGAGUACCCGACAAAGAGAAGACGGCCUGAGAUAGAAAAUGCCAUGGAAGUAACAUGAGGGAUGUCACCGUCACCAUGCGGUUGGUUGUAUACUUGCAGCUGGUGUCCAGUCCUAAUAUCAAAUAAUCUGCAGCUUCCAUCAUCUGAACCAGUUCCAAAUCUAUUACCAUCAGGGAAGAACUUUACAGUAUUGACAUCACUCUCGUGUCCAUGAAAUGUUCGUUGAGCUCGACUAGCAACUCGGGUGUCCCACAGUCGAGCAGUUGUGUCACAGGACCCAGACACAAACAGUCUAGGGUUAGAUGAACUAAUUGAGACACUUAAUACAUCUGCAGUGUGCCCAGAUUGAAACUCACCCCCAAACACAGAAGUUCUUAAGCCAGUAGUUAUAUCCCAAAGUACACAUGUUUGAUCACCAGAACUAGUUAUUAGGUGAGUAUCCUCAUCCGGAACAUACUGACACGAAGACACAUACCCCUUAUGCCCACUAAGCAUUCUCGAUACUGGAUGGAUCCCAUCCUUAUCGAUUGGUGAAUUUAAGUUGAAGAUAGAGCAGGCACUGUCAAGGCCGCCACAAGCAACAGACUGUCCACUAGGAGAGAAGGCACAGGUCAUAACCCAAGCACAUGGAAGCUUAAUUGCAUGGGUUUUCUGGCUUGUCAGAGCAUUCCACACUAUUAAUCUACCAUCUUGGGAUGCACUAACUAUACGAUUUUUUUCAGGAGUCCAGUCCAGUGAAUAGACCUUUCCAGUGUGUCCUUGCAGGAUCCUACAACAAACCAGAUCUGUUGGGCCGAACGUUACCGGAGUUUUACCUUGCGUCUUUGCAUACCCAGAAACAUCGGUGUCGAGUAAUUGGAGACGCUUCUGCUUAAGUUUUUCACGGAGAUCAUUUACAGUCUGUGUGGCGGCCAUGUGCCGCUCUUUCAGCUCCGCAACUGACAUUUCCUUAAGGAAAUUGAAACAUAAUUUUCACAAAAUUGCAAGAUUUUAUUUUUUGCUUGGAUUAGGGUUUUUGAAGAAGAAAGAGAAAGAGGAGAGAGAAAGA